GACGAACGCUGGCGGCGUGCUUAACACAUGCAAGUCGAACGGAAAGGCCUCUUUCGGGGGGUACUCGAGUGGCGAACGGGUGAGUAACACGUGAGUAACCUGCCCUUGACUUUGGGAUAACUUCAGGAAACUGGGGCUAAUACCGGAUAGGAGCUCCUGCUGCAUGGUGGGGGUUGGAAAGUUUCGGCGGUUGGGGAUGGACUCGCGGCUUAUCAGCUUGUUGGUGGGGUAGUGGCUUACCAAGGCUUUGACGGGUAGCCGGCCUGAGAGGGUGACCGGCCACAUUGGGACUGAGAUACGGCCCAGACUCCGACGGGAGGCAGCAGUGGGGAAUAUUGCACAAUGGGUGGAAGCCUGAUGCAGCAACGCCGUGUGCGGGAGGACGGCCUUCGGGUUGUAAACCGCUUUCGCUUAUGACGAAGCGUUGUGUGACGGUAGUGGGUAAAGAAGCACCGGCUAACUACGUG
rnacentral:rRNA from 1 species